rnacentral:siRNA from 1 species
UGGACAAGAACAUACCUAAGUGGA